UACGUAGGGGGCAAGCGUUGUCCGGAAUCAUUGGGCGUAAAGAGCGUGUAGGCGGCUUGAUAAGUCGGCUGUGAAAGUCAGGGGCUCAACCCUUGAAUGCCGGCCGAUACUGUCAAGCUAGAGUCCGGAAGAGGCGAGUGGAAUUCCUGGUGUAGCGGUGGAAUGCGCAGAUAUCAGGAGGAACACCAAUAGCGAAGGCAGCUCGCUGGGACGGUACUGACGCUAAGGCGCGAAAGCGUGGGGAGCGAACAGG
rnacentral:rRNA from 1 species